AGAGGUCAAAGACUCGGGUGCACAUCCCUUUGUGUUUGAUGUGUUGUUCCAAGUUCUUGAUAAAGCGGGUGGCUUCUAGAGGUUCAUAAAUUCUAUUUGAUAAAUUGGUAAAUAACGACGUUCUUGUUUUUGUAGAUUCUUGUAAUUUGUUUCUAGCUAGGCUAUUCAACAGUUUUGAUGGGAAAAAGAUGACAAUUAAUAUGUUGAGAGAGUAUCCGGAAGUGGGUGUUUGUUGGAACACCAUGUCAUAUAAUAUUAUUCUCCAUUCUCUUUGUCAAUUGGGUAGGUUAAAAGAAAUGCAUAAUCUGCUCUUACGAAUGGAGUUUGUGGGGAGCUUUCCUUAUGUUGUAAGUUAUAGUGUUAUAACUAAUGGAUACUGUCAGGUUGAAAAGAUAAGAAAGGUCUUGAAGUAAGAAAGGUCUUGAAGCUCCUGGAAGAGUUGAAGGGAAAAGGGUGUAAGCCAAAUCAAUACACAUACACAAGCGUAAUUUCCCUUCUUUGUAAGAUUGGUAGAGUAGUUGAAGUCGAGCAAGUCCUGAGGGAGAUGAUAAACCAGAGGAUUUUUCCUGAUAAAGUUGUGUAUACAACUCUCAUCUGUGGAUUCGGCAAGUCUGGAAUGUUUCAGCUGCAUACAAACUGUUUGAUGAAAUGAGACAUAAGAAAAUAGUUCUUGAUUUCCUGACUUAUACUUCCAUGAUUAAUGAGCUUUGUGAAGCUGGAAAGGUUGUGGGAGCACACAUUUGGUGUAAUAUUUAGAAAAGGUUUGGAACCAAAUGAAGUUACUUAUACUGCUCUUAUAUAGUCAUUGCAAGGCUGGAGAGAUGAAAGAUACAUUCUCUCUUCACAACCAGAUGGUUGAUUAGGGUUUGACUCCUAAUGUUGUCACUUGUACAACGUUGGUUGAUGGUCUGUGCCUUCAACCAAAUGUCCGCACAUAUAAUGCACUAAUCAAUGUUCUUUGUACGGUUGGAAAUAUAGAGCAAGCAAUAAAGAUUAUGGAAGAAACGGAUCUGGCAGGGUUUUAUCCUGACACCAUUACAUAUACGCUCAAGGACGCUUAUUGUAAGAUGGGUGAAAUGGCCAAGGCUUGUGAAAUGCCGUGGGUUAUGCUUGGUAAAAGACUUCAUCCUACAAUUGUUACAUACAAUGUGCUAAUGAAUGGGUUUUCAGGUAAGGAAUGUUUGAAGAUGGUGAAAGACUAAUUAAAUGGAUUUUCGAAAAAGGUAAAAGGCGGAAUUCCACAACAUUCAUUUUUCUCUUGAAGCAGUAUUGUAUUCGAAAUAACAUGUGAAAGAGGCAUUCUUUUUGCAUAAAGAAAUGGUUGAAUAGGGAUUUAGUCUAACUGUUGCUUCCUGUAAUGCUCUUAUAAAUGUUUCUGUAAGAGGAAGAAAUAUUGUGCAAGCUAAGAAGCUAUUUGAGGAGAUGAGAACUCGAGGCUUUGUUGCAGAAAAAGGAGAUAAAUGAUAUUUUUAUUGAUGUAACCUAUGAAGAAAGGAACUGGGAAAUUGAGCUUUGUGAUGAAGCAAUAGAGAAAUAUCUUGUUAAGAGAAUUUAGUUGGCUUUUGCGUAUGGGACUUUAUGAUGGAAAUAUCUGGGUAGUAAUUGUUGUUUGUGUUGCUCUUUCUUUCUUGGUAGUUCCACUAAAAGUAACUUGCGGAUGAUGACACCAGUUACUCUCAUGAUUAGAGGAGUGACAUGGGACUUCCAGGUACGGUCUUCUUGACGAUUUCAGCAGUUUGCCAUUCCAACUUCUUUGUAUUUGCAGUCCCCUUGGUGUAGCCUUCUUCUUGUUGUUAUACCAUCUUCCAGCCAGGAAGAAUCAAGAGGGAAAGAGAAGUUGAACAAACAAUCGUGUUCUUCAG